CACUGAUUAAUCUUUUGUUAUUACAUUACUCGUUUCUUAUUUAUUAAAGAUUCGAAUUGCAAAUUGAACUAUUAUACAAUUCUUAAAAUAUAGUAAUUGACAUAAAUUUUCUCUCAAAUUCUUAAGCACAGCAAAUUGUGUGUGGAGCCCACAAUAGUGAUACUUGAGAUUCGAGAGUCGUUGAUUCGCUGAGUGGAUAUGAUAAUGGCAUUGAAGUGUAGAUGGAGUGAUGUGAGGGCGAAGCAGCAUAUCACAAUCGGGUGAAGAAGAAAAAUCUAUGCGUCGUGAGUGGUGAAAUAAGCUACGUGGCAAUAGAAGAUUGGGUCCACGUGACACCUUUUUCGAGAAAAAUCGUUUUUGAUCAGACAAAAAAACCGGUAAUCGGGUGAAAGGCGAUGAAUGAUCCAGUACAACGAAGGCACGCG
rnacentral:lncRNA from 1 species